CUGCGCCUUUAAGGUGCCGAGCCGCCGCGCGCUGAGCGCUCCGAUUGGACGGCGCCGCGGGGAGAGCGGAAGGGGGGCCUUGAAACCGCCCGCCGGGCUGGAAGGGGGGGGCGCUGCCUCGGGAGCCCCCACAGAGCGGGAGGAACCGGCACCGGGUGCGGCCGGUACCGAGUGAGCGCGGCCGGGGCAACGCAGCGUUAAUGGGGGAGCACAGGGGGCAGCCCCGGAACUUUGUGACACGGUGCGGGUACAAUGAGAGACGGGCACGGACCGGGCGGGGACGGGCCUGAGCUGCGGCCGGUCCCACAGGGCAGCGCCGGGCUCCUCACACACAACCCGGCCCAACAGCCCCGAGCGCCGUUACCACGGGAACUGAUGAUGGAGCGGCACGAAACCAGCGCUGCCAACGGCCCGUCACAGCCGGCAUCACCUGCAGGGCCGGGAUGGGCAGCAGGUCACGGAGCUCGUGUCCCCUGAGCCUCCACAUCCCGCUGUUCUUAGGGCUGGGUGAUGACCAGCAGAGUAAACCACCUACGUGAGGGUAAAGAGCAGCUAAAUAUCCCUGUUCAAAAUAACACCUUCGUAUUCAGCACAUUCUGCAAAGUGCUGCUGUCCCCAGGGGGAUGUGUGCUGUGCUCCUGGCCAGCAAGAAAGGAAGAACAGGGCUUCUCUCUGCCCACACCGCCAUCCCUUUCCUUAGACCUUAGAAAAUGGGAUGGCCACGGCUGCUGCUCAGCCCCUCAUGUUUUGCAGCACAUCCAGCUCUACAUUCGCUCCUGCUCAUCAGUUUAUUUCCCUUUAACUCAUUGAUUGUCUGAGAUACCGAGCAGACAAAAACAGUUCCCUUCUUUCCCAGUCGUUGGGAUGAGAAAUGCAAUAGGAGCUGGGAUCUCCACCUCCAAAGGUCCAUCUGCAGGUGCCCAGCAUGAAGAGGGAGGUCGGGGAAGAUGUCCUGAGCAUGGGGACAGCAGAGGAUGGAUGGGGACAGGCACCUUCCUGGUGCUGCCCCUGCCUCAGCUUCUCCCCCAUCCCCCGGACCAGCUCUGUUUCUUGGCUGUUGCUAGGGGAGAUGGAGAAGAGCACUUGAUUGAAAGCUUCCUGCAAGUGGCACCAAGUCUAAAUAUUGCCAUUCCUAUUCAAGCAAACCCAGGAGCCCGACUCCAGGACAGCGAGGGUGGAACUCCUGUCCCGUGUGAACUGCACCUCUCCCUGCAGCCCCGGCCUCGUGUCUGCCACCACCCGAUGUCGAGACGAUGUGAGCAGAUUAUAAGACGGUGCCUUGGACCAACUGAGCUCAAGAUCAGAAGGGAGACUAAUUUCAUCUCUUCCCCACCGCAGAACGCAAUUAAAUGGCUCUGCGAAGUUUGAACACAGGUCAGGACAAGAAAUGUUACAAUCAGAAAUCCCAACACCCAGCAGCCAGCAGCGCUGUCUGCUCCAGUCAUGGGAGGAGGUUCCAAGCCUCCCCAGUGCUCCCGUGGCUUGGAGAGCCAAUGUCCUCAGCUCGGGCGUUUCUCUGUUGGGUUUCCCUUGGAUUUGUGGCAAUGAAGGCACCAGAAUUCAUUAAAAACUCCAAUAACCGCCUGCCUGAACCUCUCCCGUCUGACAGCUCAGAGCUGCCUGCUUCCCUCCCUGCAUCCCGCAGUACAGAAACGGCCCCGCUCUGCUCAGCUCCAAGGCAGGAGAAAACGCUGCUGGGCGCCCAUGAGGCUGAAGGCAGCAGCCCCUGGCACAGCGAGGUCGGGACCUAUCGCACGGAGCCAUUAGCAUGCAAUGUGGAGGAACACGUCUUUUUGGGAGCCCUGCCUGGCUCGUGGCCUUGUGGGAUGCAGGGAGAAGUGCCUCGUCCUCCCCGUGGUGCAGCUCCUUCCUCAAGGCCCUGAAUCAUCCCCGCUGCCAUCUGCUGCACCCUCGCUCUUCCCUGCAGAUGUCCUUCUUCCUUCCCCAGAAGGAGAUGAGAACCGAGGAUGAGGUGCCAAACGCGACUUCAAACAGCAUCUAAUAAAACACGGGAUUAAUUUC